GGCAGCCUUCUCUUGGUGCCCAGCACGGCAUUCUGAGCGAAUGCCUGGAAAACUCAGGGAACAAUGAAGACCACCAGGGACUUGUGGAGCGGCCACUGGGCAGGACAGUUGGAGCACAGGAAGGCUGGCCACAUGAGUCCUCAGCGAGGCAAGUCUUUCUUGCCACAGCCCAGAAGAGAGUCCCAGAGGACAGAAGCUUGGUCUGUGCACAGUGGGAGAGGAAGUUGUCGGGCUACAUUAAAGGGAGCAAGGCUGGAGGGUGCAGCGACAGCCAGCAGGUGCAGCAUCCAGCACUGCGCCCGGGAGACUCCUGGCAUUUCAUUAUCUCUCGGCUCCAAGGGAAAGAGGGAAAAUGGCGGUGCAGACAACGUGUCAAGACAGCAGCGUGGGGCCCAGAGACAAAGAGCCAAGGACCCUCACUAGCUCGCACUGCCCAGGCUCGCACUGCUGCCCACAGCCCCUCUCAGCACCACCGUUUCCUGCUCUGCAGCACACGAGCUGCUUGGAGGCCAAGGAGUCCCAGGGUAGAACUGGGAUUUGU